rnacentral:rRNA from 1 species
UGAACGCUGGCGGCGUGCUUAACACAUGCAAGUCGAACGAAGCAACUUAUUGGAUUCCUUCGGGGAUGAAGAUAAGUUGACUUAGUGGCGGACGGGUGAGUAACGCGUGGGUAACCUGCCUUAUACAGGGGGAUAACAGUUGGAAACGGCUGCUAACACCGCAUAAGCGCACAGCAUCGCAUGAUGCAGUGUGAAAAUAUUUAUAGGUAUAAGAUGGACCCGCGUCUGAUUAGCUUGUUGGUGGGGUAAUGGCCUACCAAGGCGACGAUCAGUAGCCGGCUUGAGAGAGUGAACGGCCACAUUGGGACUGAGACACGGCCCAAACUCCUACGGGAGGCAGCAGUGGGGAAUAUUGCACAAUGGGGGAAACCCUGAUGCAGCGACGCCGCGUUGAGUGAAGAAGUAUUUCGGUAUGUAAAGCUCUAUCAGCAGGGAAGAAAGAGUCGUAAGACUCAUGACGGUACCUGACUAAGAAGCCCCGGCUAACUACGUGCCAGCCGCCGC